CCAAGGCAGGCGCGGGGCAGGCGCGGUGCGAGCACGGGCCGGGGGCGGCGGCGGCGGCGGCGCGUGCGCGGCCCCGGAGAAGCGGCAGCUGAGGCGGCGGCCAACGGGUGGGAGCUAACGCGCCGCCGCCGCGUCACGCAGGCGCACUUACCGCCUCCCGCAGCCCCACCUUUCUCCGCAGGCGCAGUAGGCACCGCCCCGUACCACCACCCACCCGCCCGCCCCGCCCUCCUGCAGGCUCCAUACCUGUCCCCAUCUUCGGAUGCUCUAGACACACCCUCGGCCCCGCCCCCAGGCUCAGUCCUUCCCCGGUGCAGUAGGCACGCCCCUCUAACCUAGCCCGGUCGGUGUCCUUAGUAGCUGUGGACACACCCUCGGCCCCGCCUCCACUUCGUCCUCAAGGCCGAAGACUCGCUAGUCUAUCCGCCCCCUCCCACUCCCCGCCACAGUGGACACGCCUCUGACACGCCCCUGUCAGGAUCCCGCGCAGGCGCAGUAAUCUCUUCGGAGGGCUAUCCCGUUUCCAAGCAACUUGAGAGACUAAUCUCAGGAGCUGCUGGUUGAUUGAACCUCAUUCCUGUGUCCGGGGACUGGUUCGUUUCUACCUCUGGCAAGACCCGCUCUCUGAGAACUGAGCGCCCUUAGAGUCUGCACUGGCGCUGCGUCUGUGGGCAGAGAUGCCAAGACGUCUCCGCCGGGACUGGCAGAGUGUACGCGGCUCCAGAAUGGCACCUGAGAUUAGCCCAGAGAAAGGAUCCCCGAAGCUCUCGGGAGUCCGGAGCCACCGCAAGCCCUGCCUCCUUCCCGGUGGGCACUAGCAGAUCUCUCAUCCAGGUUUGGCGUCUAAGGGAAAUGGAUGCCAGCCUAGGACCAUCGUCGAGUGUGACCUGCAUUUUAGUGCUUGAAUGGAGCAAUAAUAUAUUUGUGAAACCUGGGUGCGGAAGGAGAAGGAUGUCACUGGAGAGCGGACCGUGGGCGCACCAGCCUCUGGGAAGCCUCAGGAAUCCCUCCGGCCCGGGCGUGGGUGACCUUACUGACCAUCAUCUGCUUGCUUCAAGGAACCUGUCCGUUUUAUCCAAGUCCAGGGGUUGGUUCCGGAAUCUGGAGAGUGACUUUUGGUUUUGAUGAUGACUUACUAUCCCUGACAGACACUUUUGUGGAACAGAGGACUAAAGGGACAGGCAUCCUUGUCUAAUACAAUAAAUAUUUGAAUCCUCUA